UUUUUGAGGCAGAAGUGUCCCACCAGAUGCAAGCAAUGGGAAAUCAGGAGGAAGUCGAGGGAAGCUCAAGCACAAAGCUGUCAGGAUUCAAUGAAGAGACCACAGCUCCAAAUGAGUCACCUCCUUGUAAGAAGAAAGCCUUAGAUGCGCUGUUUGGCGAUUCCUUCACCCAAAGAGAAAGAAAAUCCACAAGCGAGACAGCCAGAGCAGAGGUGUUAAAGUACCGAGCAAAAGAUGUGUUGCCUUUGACUGAAAAUGCCAUGAAGUGGUGGAGAUCUCAGGAGAAAGAGCUACCUGUACUUUCCACCCUUGCUAAACGGUACCUGUGCAUUCCAGGCACCAGUGUGCCAG